rnacentral:rRNA from 1 species
UGAGGAAUAUUGGUCAAUGGGCGAGAGCCUGAACCAGCCAAGUAGCGUGCAGGAUGACGGCCCUAUGGGUUGUAAACUGCUUUUAUAUGGGAAUAAAGUGAGGGACGUGUCCCUUAUUGCAUGUACCAUACGAAUAAGGACCGGCUAAUUCCGUGCCAGCAGCCGCGGUAAUACGGAAGGUCCAGGCGUUAUCCGGAUUUAUUGGGUUUAAAGGGAGCGUAGGCUGUUUGUUAAGCGUGUUGUGAAAUGUAGGAGCUCAACUUCUAGAUUGCAGCGCGAACUGUCAGACUUGAGUGCGCACAACGUAGGCGGAAUUCAUGGUGUGGCGGUGAAAUGCUUAGAUAUCAUGAAGAACUCCGAUUGCGAAGGCAGCUUACGGGAGCGCACCUGACGCUGAAGCUCGAAGGUGCGGGUAUCGAACAGG